CGCACGGGUGAGUAACACGUAUCCAACCUGCCGUCUACUCUUGGACAGCCUUCUGAAAGGAAGAUUAAUACAAGAUGGCAUCAUGAGUCCGCAUGUUCACAUGAUUAAAGGUAUUCCGGUAGACGAUGGGGAUGCGUUCCAUUAGAUAGUAGGCGGGGUAACGGUCCACCUAGUCUUCGAUGGAUAGGGGUUCUGAGAGGAAGGUCCCCCACAUUGGAACUGAGACACGGUCCAA
rnacentral:rRNA from 1 species